rnacentral:lncRNA from 1 species
GCCAGAGCAGCGGCCAAGGCUGAGGAGAGAGCUGGGACUCGAGACCCUGCUCCACCCUGCUGGCUCUCGCUCGGCCCCAUUACCUGGCAAGCCCCGGCAUCCUUGACCCACGUCCGUGGCGCUGCCUGGGUAGGAACGCGCCUGAAGACCGCGCAGGACACUACCACUGGGCAUCCUGGGUUUGAUGCAGACAUCCUGCACUACAUUCCAGAUCUGAUGAGGCAUGGCUGCCCCAGGAUUACUGGGCUCGGACGGGAGCAGUGGUAGGAAGGAUCCUAUAUAAGUCAUGUGAGACAUAGAAUGUUCAGAUCAACUGAAGCUGAAACAAGCCUUUGGCAUCAUAUAUAACCCAGAAAGGGACAAAGCUGAUCCCAGAGGACUCAAGGCUAUGGGUGAUGUCGAAGGUGCGGAAGAAUCAAGUUGGAAAGACCAGCAGGAGACAGACAGAGUAAGGUUCCUUGAAUGCUUGGUUUAUGUGCCUGGCUGGAGGAGACACCCAUGGCCUUGCAGAGGGAGCGUUCUGGUGGGAAAGCAGACACAACCCACCCUAGGCCCGUGGUUUCCCUGCAAGAAGCCCAGUGGCUUUCUGGAGGACACUUUUCCUGGAGGAAGUGACUCAAGAGCAGCAUAAGCCAGGCUCUAUGGAAUGUUGGGUGAGCUGCUUGAGGAACUCCAAGGCCUGUCCCACAGUCUUCCAGCCUCCGACUCUCCGGCCCUCAGCGAGGAAGUCCCACUGGUUUUUUUGGUUGGUUUUUUUUUUUUUUUUUAAGGUUUUUUGGUUUUUUUUUUUUUUUCUCAUUCCUGUCUUGGGAGCUUUCCCCAACCAGGAGAGUGAAGAUGGGCGGAGCUGUCACACCAACUGUUAGCCUGCCUUGGCUGAGAGGAGAGGAGGCGAGGAGGGAGCGACCACCCAGCUUUAGUCGUUUUAAAACAGCUCCUGACCCUAGAAGAAGGGAAAUGGAGAUGAAGACCCAAUUGACUUGGCUUCCCUCCCUCCCAGUGCUGAUUUCCUGUGGACCAGAUUCCAGCACAGUGGAGGGCCAGAGCUCAGGGAACAGACCCAGCAGCACAGCAAGUCUCCAAGGAAAGCUCUAGCAGUCUCCAGGGGCUGAAGGCAGGACUGGGGAAGCGGCUAGCCAGGCUGCAGAAGGCAAAUGCUCCCAGACGGCUGUCCAGCACGCAUCCGCCUUCCUAGCCAAGUUUCCUGGGCUCCUGCCACAGAUCUAAGCCUCAUCCUGACAUCCUGCCCUCUGUGCUCUGGGAUGGCCCAGGGGAGAUGCUUAGCCUUGGCUCCUUGUCUGCUGGUGGAGGGGACACACACCCUUUCUGGACCACAGACCAAAAAGAAGACCUGACGUCAUCCUGAGCACCCCCGCCAUGCAGAGUGUGUUCGCAGACUGCCAACGGGCUGGCUCCGGCCAGCAGAAGUGAACAGAGGUGGAGGUUCAGCCUGACAGCUUCUCCCCAAAGCCAUGGAGAGAAAACCUUACCACCCCCACCGCCCAGCUACUUCCAGCAAGUUGUCCAGCCUGACCCCUCUAUUUCCCCUGUUGUCUCUUAUCUGGGUCCCUGAGACCCACCCCAUCUCCAAUAAAGAACAUUGCAUACUGUG